UGCAAGUCGAGCGAGAAGGUGUAGCAAUACACUUGUAAAGCGGCGAACGGGUGAGGAAUGCAUGGGUAACCUACCCUCGAGUGGGGAAUAACUAGCCGAAAGGUUAGCUAAUACCGCAUACGUUUCCGGAACUUCGGGUUCGGAAAGAAAGCAAUACCGUGGGUAUUGCGCUCAUGGAUGGGCUCAUGUCCUAUCAGCUUGUUGGUGAGGUAACGGCUCACCAAGGCUUCGACGGGUAGCUGGUCUGAGAGGACGAUCAGCCACACUGGCACUGCGACACGGGCCAGACUCCUACGGGAGGCAGCAGUAAGGAAUAUUGCGCAAUGGACGAAAGUCUGACGCAGCGACGCCGCGUGGGGGAUGAAGGUCUUCGGAUUGUAAACCCCUUUCGGGAGGGAAGAUGGAGUGGGUAAGCACGGGGACGGUACCUCCAGAAGCAGCCACGGCUAACUUCGUGCCAGCAGCCGCGGUAAUACGAAGGUGGCAAGCGUUGUUCGGAUUCACUGGGCGUACAGGGAGCGUAGGCGGUUGGGUAAGCCCUCCGUGAAAUCUCCGGGCCUAACCCGGAAAGUGCAGAGGGGACUGCUCAGCUAGAGGAUGGGAGAGGAGCGCGGAAUUCCCGGUGUAGCGGUGAAAUGCGUAGAGAUCGGGAGGAAGGCCGGUGGCGAAAGCGGCGCUCUGGAACAUUUCUGACGCUGAG
rnacentral:rRNA from 1 species